CUAUUGUAGGUGUGUAUGUCCUGGACAAAAUUGAAUUUAAGACUGCAUUUAACAAGGUUUGUUUUCCUUCUUUUAGACUUCCCGUGUGAGGCGUUCGCCGAAAGGUGUUGCCACAAGGCGUAGAGGAGGAAAGCGGCAGGUGCUGGCAACACCUUCACCUGCCCGUGUGACCGUGCCUGCCUCCGGCCCCAGACCAGCGGUGCAGCAGGUGGAGGCGACAGCCCAGGAGUCGUCCAGCGUGGUGCCAGGGGUGGUCGUCGUCCGGGAGGAGC